rnacentral:tRNA from 1 species
GGGCGUAUAGCUCAGUUGGUAGAGCAGCUGACUCUUAAUCAGCUGGCCCUAGGUUCGAGUCCUAGUGCGCCCACCA